UACGUAGGGUGCAAGCGUUGUCCGGAAUUAUUGGGCGUAAAGAGCUCGUAGGCGGUCUGUCGCGUCUGCUGUGAAAACUCAGGGCUUAACCCUGAGCUUGCAGUGGGUACGGGCAGACUAGAGUGCGGUAGGGGAGACUGGAAUUCCUGGUGUAGCGGUGAAAUGCGCAGAUAUCAGGAGGAACACCGGUGGCGAAGGCGGCAUCCUGGACCAACACUGACGCUGAG
rnacentral:rRNA from 1 species